rnacentral:rRNA from 1 species
UGGGUUUGAUCAUGGCUCAGGAUUAACGCUGGCGGCAUGCCUAAUACAUGCAAGUCGAACGAAAUUUCUUUUUUAAGAAAUUGAGUGGCGAACGGGUGAGUAAUGUAUGUUCAAUCUGCCUCAAAGUGGGGAAUAACUGUUGGAAACGACAGCUAAUACCCCAUAGGGUAAUACAAGGCAUCUUGUAUUGCUUAAAGGUGCAUUUUGCAUCGCUAUGAGAUGAGAACAUAUCACAUUAGCUUGUUGGUGGGGUAAUGGCCCACCAAGGCAAUGAUGUGUAGCCGGACUGAGAGGUUGAACGGCCACAAUGGGACUGAGACACGGCCCAUACUCCUACGGGAGGCAGCAGUAGGGAAUAUUUCACAAUGGACGAAAGUCUGAUGAAGCAAUGCCGCGUGAAGGAAGAAGGUUUUCGAAUCGUAAACUUCUGUUAUAAGGGAAGAAAAUCUAAAAUAGGAAAUGAUUUUAGCUUGACGGUACUUUAUUAGAAAGUCACGGCAAACUAUGUGCCAGCAGCCGCGGUAAUACAUAGGUGGCGAGCGUUAUCCGGAUUUAUUGGGCGUAAAGAGUGCACAGGUUGUUUAUUAAGUCAAUUGUUAAAUACCGAAGCUUAACUUCGGUCCGCAGUUGAAACUAGUAAACUAGAAUGCAGGUGGGGACAGUGGAAUUCCAUGUGUAGCGGUGGAAUGCAUAAAUAUAUGGAGGAACACCAGUGGCGAAGGCGGCUGUCUGAACUGUAAUUGACACUUAAGCACGAAAGCGUGGGGAGCAAAUAGGAUUAGAUACCCUAGUAGUCCACGCUGUAAACGAUCUAGACUAGUUGUUGCCAAAAAGGCAGUAACGCAGCUAACGCAUUAAGUCUAGCGCCUGGGUAGUAUGCACGCAAGUGUGAAACUCAAAGGAAUUGACGGGGACCCGCACAAGUGGUGGAGCAUGUGGUUUAAUUCGAUGAUACGCGAAGAACCUUACCUACGUUUGACAUACUUGGCAAAACUAUAGAGAUAUAGUGGAGGUUAACCAAUGUACAGGUGGUGCAUGGUUGUCGUCAGCUCGUGUCGUGAGAUGUUCGGUUAAGUCCGGUAACGAGCGCAACCCCUUUCUUAUGUUACUAACAAGUAAUGUUGAGGACUCAUGAGAUACUGCCUGGGUAACCAGGAGGAAGGUGGGGAUGACGUCAAAUCAUCAUGCCCCUUAUACGUAGGGCUACACACGUGCUACAAUGGCUGUUACAAAGGGCUGCCAAACCGUAAGGUGGAGCCAAUCUCAAAAAAACAGUCUCAGUUCGGAUUGAAGUCUGCAAUUUGACUUUAUGAAGCUGGAAUCACUAGUAAUCGCAGGUCAGCAAUACUGCGGUGAAUACGUUCUCGGGUCUUGUACACACCGCCCGUCAAACCACGAAAGUCGGUAAUGCCUGAAACCGCUGUUCUAACCUUUAAUGAAAUUCGUUUCUUUAGAGGAGGAAGGCGUCUAGGGUAGGAUUGGUGAUUGGGGUUAAGUCGUAACAAGGUAACCA